GACGAACGCUGGCGGCGUGCCUAAUACAUGCAAGUCGAACGCAUUUUCUUUCACCGUAGCUUGCUACACCGAAAGAAAAUGAGUGGCGAACGGGUGAGUAACACGUGGGUAACCUGCCCAUCAGCGGGGGAUAACACUUGGAAACAGGUGCUAAUACCGCAUAAUUCCAUUUACUGCAUGGUAGAUGGAUGAAAGGCGCUUUUGCGUCACUGAUGGAUGGACCCGCGGUGCAUUAGAUAGUUGGUGGGGUAACGGCCUACCAAGGCUGCGAUGCAUACCCGACCUGGGGGGGUGUUCGGCCACACUGGAACUGAGCCACGCCCCAGACUCCUACGGAGGGCAGCAGUGGGGAAUCUUCGGCAAUGAACGCAAGUCUGACCGGGCACCCCCGCGUGAGUGAGGAAGGUUUUCGGAUCGUAAACCUCUGUUGUUAAAAAGAAACAAGGAUGGGGGUGAAAAGUCCAUCCCUUAACGGAAUCAAACAAGAAAGCCACGCCUAACUACGU
rnacentral:rRNA from 1 species